rnacentral:lncRNA from 1 species
UGGGGGCUCGGGACGUGCCAACCAGAAUCGCAACCGGAAUUGCGAAACAUGUCGCCGACCAGUCUCCCGUUUGCCACGCUUAGACUUAUGGGCUUAGCACGCCACAUGCUGCACGAGUACCAGCCUGGGCUCGAUUUGAGUAACACGCAUACCCUACCGCUACCAGCCUCAGCAGCAUGGUUCGAUGCCUAGCCCCCGCACGUCCUUGCACGCUCGUGCAGUUAGGGUUAACCUAUCCGCUCAACAUGGCGUGGGCACGUGGACAACACCAGGUACUGCUCGGCAGCGCGAGGGAGGGGCCCCCACGCCUUAGGCCGACACACUGGCUGUGCGGCCUACUACCGGCACGUCAAACCACGAUGGCGUCUUGCAUUUGCAUUCACACUAGCUUACAUUUCUCGAAACCACAAUCCAUGCACAUGCUCAAGGCAUGGGCGAGGGCUGGGGUGAGGUGUGGCCGGACCUGUUUACGGGGGUGUGAUGGGGGUCAUACGGAGGCAGACUAGGCCAGGUGCAUUUCAACUCCAACCCUUCCGGCCCCGCCAAGCCCCAUCCCAACCCCACCCUGUCGCCUGUCGGCCCGACCAACCGCGCGCCAUCGGCCGUCGGCAGCUGUCAGCGCCGACCGGAAGGCGCUCGCGCGUGCCGCGAAGAGAAUGGCGGCGACCGGGAGGCACGUGGAGCUGCGGUUCAUCUGUGAGCACCGCACCACGCUGUGCUGCUACGCGUGUGGGGCGUGUCGUGUUUGCACCGGCUUUCCCCCCGAAUUUUGUGGCCCAGCGUACUACGCAACGUAUUUUAACGUACUGUACUAGGAAUCCUAGUACGCUGCAUUAAUACGCGUAUUAUGGAGAGAGGGUCGCGUACUCGGCAACCUGGGCACCACCUGUGCCGCAGCGGCCGCGUCCAUGAGUGCCUGGAUGCGCAGCGGUACCGGGACUGGGAAGGAGGGGCGCGCGCAAUAUGCCAGGACACACCAGUUUCGGCCUCUCCAUCGUUAUACUUGUAAGAAAC